GGAGCUUGCUUCUCCGGAUGAGUUGCGAACGGGUGAGUAACGCGUAGGUAACCUGCCUGGUAGCGGGGGAUAACUAUUGGAAACGAUAGCUAAUACCGCAUAAGAGUAGAUGUUGCAUGACAUUUGCUUAAAAGGUGCAAUUGCAUCACUACCAGAUGGACCUGCGUUGUAUUAGCUAGUUGGUGGGGUAACGGCUCACCAAGGCGACGAUACAUAGCCGACCUGAGAGGGUGAUCGGCCACACUGGGACUGAGACACGGCCCAGACUCCUACGGGAGGCAGCAGUAGGGAAUCUUCGGCAAUGGACGGAAGUCUGACCGAGCAACGCCGCGUGAGUGAAGAAGGUUUUCGGAUCGUAAAGCUCUGUUGUAAGAGAAGAACGAGUGUGAGAGUGGAAAGUUCACACUGUGACGGUAUCUUACCAGAAAGGGACGGCUAACUACGUGCCAGCAGCCGCGGUAAUACGUAGGUCCCGAGCGUUGUCCGGAUUUAUUGGGCGUAAAGCGAGCGCAGGCGGUUAGAUAAGUCUGAAGUUAAAGGCUGUGGCUUAACCAUAGUACGCUUUGGAAACUGUUUAACUUGAGUGCAAGAGGGGAGAGUGGAAUUCCAUGUGUAGCGGUGAAAUGCGUAGAUAUAUGGAGGAACACCGGUGGCGAAAGCGGCUCUCUGGCUUGUAACUGACGCUGAGGCUCGAAAGCGUGGGGAGCAAA
rnacentral:rRNA from 1 species